UACGUAGGGGGCGAGCGUUGUCCGGAUUUACUGGGCUUAAAGGGCGCGUAGGCGGCUUUGUAAGUCAGUGGUGAAAUACUCCAGCUUAACUGGAGGGGUGCCAUUGAUACUGCGGGGCUUGAGUACAGAUGAGGUAGGCGGAAUUGACGGUGUAGCGGUGAAAUGCAUAGAUAUCGUCAAGAACACCGAUAGCGAAGGCAGCUUACUGGGCUGUAACUGACGCUGAUGCACGAAAGUGUGGGGAUCAAACAGG
rnacentral:rRNA from 1 species